GCGGAGAUAGCUCAGUUGGUAGAGCGCCUGGCAGUUCCAGCCGGGAGGCGGGGGUUCGAAUCCUUCUCUCCGCC
rnacentral:tRNA from 1 species